GCAACUAAUCCAUAAGCUUGGUCAGACCGCUAGACAUAGCCACAUAGGCCAAAAUUUAAUUUUGGCCAUACCUAGCAAGGCAACAAGCAGUGUGGAUUCAAUUCGUACCCGUACCAGGUCGCUACAGCGAACGCCUUGCCCGUGCUAAAAACUGUUACCAAAAAUGCCCCUUUGCACGGCGGCUCCACCGGAUGCCGGCAGGUACGUGCACGUUUUUCAGUUUGACACUGGAACGCGAUUGGCGCGCCGUGAUGCUGUAUAACUGUAUUGUUGUUGGUGUUUUUUUUUAAUGCAUAUUGUUGUUGGUGUUGAGGAGCAUUCUUUCUUCUCUGUAGUCCCGGCCUACUAGUGCGCCUUGGCCCCCUCUGAGGGAAAAAAAAAAAAGCCGAAGGUAGGCUGGCAUCCCACUGGGCCGGAUGCAUGCGCUGAGAAACGUUUUGUCUGUGUUGUUAGAGUUUGCACGGCCUGGCCCGCGUACGCUGCUUCGAAGAAGUGGAAAUCGAGGACGUGCUCGGCAGGCACUACGGGCUGCGGCCUCCACACGCUGGGUCAGGAAAGCAACCCAGUGCUGCCGCAGGCCAAGCGCACGGCUGAGGUCUGAGGCUGUGAUGCUGCUCCGCUCAUGCCAAGUUGCCAACCACCAAGAUUCCACGUUCUACCCAAUCAUCUGAUGAAACCAAAUCGGCGCAGAAGCAUCGAAUGGAAUCGCUUGCGACGGUGCCGAAAGUUCAAUUCUGGUCUUCCUUGAUCAACGAUGUCUUGAGGGUACGUAACUUUCUGGUUUGUCGACCUGCUCAAUCUGCCUCGGUUUCUUGCUGGGUGCUAUGCUGCAUUUGUAAACGUAUACAGUUCCAAGGAAACGAAAGGCAAGUGGCCCCGACAGUGCCAUGUCAACGUAGCAGACUUCAUCAGCUAAUGGGAGGUCUAAAAUCUUAAAUUCGACAGUAGCAGUACACCACCUGUUUGGUGCAAACUGCCUUUCAGGGGUGGACCUUGUGGUGUCCUCGGACACGCAGGGAGACGACUCGUACGAGUGCCCCGCCUGCGACGGGGACGCCGAGUACUUGUUGCUCCGCUUGCUCCCCCUGUCCCUGAUGUCCUCGAUCAUCUUGGCCACCACCGCCA